rnacentral:lncRNA from 1 species
GACAGCGACGUCCGUAACUGUCUGGUAGUGGGCCAUUCGGGGCCAUCUGGAGUUUGUUACAGAGAGUGGAGUGGUGUCUGUUGUCGCGACUUGUCAGAGAGUGGUGGGGCCACGUGGAGUUUGUUACAGAGAGUGAAGUGGUAUCCGUUAUUGCGACUUGCCGGGGAGUUCGAGCCGGACAGCUGAAGCUCGGUUGGGACAUCUGGUGGAGCAGAAUAGUUCUCUGUCUUAGUAAUUUAAGAGAAGCUCGGAUGUUUCCGAGGUUGCUGACGGGUUAACUGUUGUUGGGUGCCUUAGGCAUUGAUGCUGCAGACGGAAGUCAUCUGCUGUAGAAGUCCGGACGGAAACUUUCUGUUGGAGAAAUUCGGCUGGAGUCCGAUUGCUAGAGAAGUCCGUCUGAAAUUUAUCUGAUGUUGAAGCUUGUUUGAAGACUAUCUGCUGGAGAGGUCCGGUCGCAUGAGGAAUCCGGCAGAAGGUCGAUCGAUAGCAGAAUUCGAAAGGCAUUGUGGAAGUUCGUCCGCUGGAGGAGUUUGGAGGACACUGUGGAAGGUCGACCGCUGGAGAGGUCUGGAGGGAAUUUGUCCGUUGGAGGGGUCUAGUUGGCACUGUUGAAGUUCGAUUGGCGCUGUUGAAGGUUGAUGGCUGG